AUCCAACUGAUGAGUACCAGAAUGGAACGAAACAUGUGUCCUAGAU
rfam:Schistosoma haematobium scaffold528_2, whole genome shotgun sequence.